CGCUCCAGAGAGAGAGAGAAUCCUAGGUGUGUGCGCUCCAGAGAGAGAGAGAGAAGCCUAGGAGUGUGCGCUCCAGAGAGAGAAGCCUAGGCGUGUGCGCUCAGGUGUGUGCGCCCCAGAGAGAGAAGCCUAGGCGUGUGCGCUCAGGUGUGUGCGCCCCAGGGAGAGAAGCCUAGGAGUGUGCGCUCCAGAGAGCGCACACUCAGGUGUGUGCGCCCCAGAGAGAGAAGCCUAGGCGUGUGCGCUCCAGCGACCGCACACUCAGGUGCGUGCGCCCCAGGGAGAGAAGCCUAGGGAGUGUGCGCUCCAGAGGCGAGAAACCUAGGAAUGUGCGCUCCAGAGAGAGAGAAGCCUUGGAGUGUGCGCAAUGGAGUGCCGGGCAAUAUUCCCCUACCUUACACUCGCCGAAUGUUUGGGGGCUCAAGAGAGACUGGCAAUGAAUGAACAUAACAUAAAAUACAGACAAUCAUUAUAAAGCUACACGGACAGAAGCGGAUAGAAUAAGAAAGGUUUUGCAAAGGGACUUCAUACCUGUAAGGAGUGUGCCCACAGCAAUGAGUCCU